UCGACGCUUUGUCUUUAAUUGAUCUGACGAGCUUGCUCUGAUUUGAUUUUAUCUGACAAAGAGUGGCGAACGGGUGAGUAACACGUGGGUAACCUACCUCUUAGCAGGGGAUAACAUUUGGAAACAAGUGCUAAUACCGUAUAAUACCAACAACCGCAUGGUUGUUGGUUGAAAGAUGGUUCUGCUAUCACUAAGAGAUGGACCCGCGGUGCAUUAGCUAGUUGGUAAGGUAACGGCUUACCAAGGCAAUGAUGCAUAGCCGAGUUGAGAGACUGAUCGGCCACAAUGGGACUGAGACACGGCCCAUACUCCUACGGGAGGCAGCAGUAGGGAAUCUUCCACAAUGGGCGCAAGCCUGAUGGAGCAACGCCGCGUGUGUGAUGAAGGGUUUCGGCUCGUAAAACACUGUUAUAAGAGAAGAACGGCACUGAGAGUAACUGUUCAGUGUGUGACGGUAUCUUACCAGAAAGGAACGGCUAAAUACGUGCCAGCAGCCGCGGUAAUACGUAUGUUCCAAGCGUUAUCCGGAUUUAUUGGGCGUAAAGCGAGCGCAGACGGUUAUUUAAGUCUGAAGUGAAAGCCCUCAGCUCAACUGAGGAAUGGCUUUGGAAACUGGAUGACUUGAGUGCAGUAGAGGAAAGUGGAACUCCAUGUGUAGCGGUGAAAUGCGUAGAUAUAUGGAAGAACACCAG
rnacentral:rRNA from 1 species